AAACUGGAGAGUUUGAUUCUGGCUCAGGACGAACGCUGGCGGCGUGCUUAAGACAUGCAAGUCGUACGAGAAAGUCUCUUCGGAGAUGAGUAAAGUGGCGCACGGGUGAGUAACGCGUGGGUAAUCUGCCCUUAGGUUUGGGAUAACCCCGGGAAACCGGAGCUAAUACCGAAUGAGACCACGAUGACUUCGGUCGAUGUGGGAAAAGGUGGCCUCUUCUUGAAAGCUAUCGCCAAAGGAUGAGCCCGCGUUUGAUUAGCUAGUUGGUGAGGUAAUGGCUCACCAAGGCGACGAUCAAUAGCUGGUCUGAGAGGAUGAUCAGCCACACUGGAACUGAGAUACGGUCCAGACUCCUACGGGAGGCAGCAGUCAGGAAUAUUGGGCAAUGGGCGAAAGCCUGACCCAGCAACGCCGCGUGAAGGAUGAAGGCCUUCGGGUCGUAAACUUCUGUCGAGAGGGAAGAAUGCGUACGGGUGAAUAAUCCGUGCGUUUGACGGUACCUCAAAAGGAAGCACCGGCUAACUCCGUGCCAGCAGCCGCGGUAAUACGGAGGGUGCAAGCGUUGUUCGGAUUCAUUGGGCGUAAAGCGAGUGUAGGCGGUUUGACAAGUCGGAUGUGAAAUCCCGGGGCCCAACCCCGGAACUGCAUCCGAUACUGUCUGGCUAGAGUCCCGGAGAGGGUGGCGGAAUUCCCGGUGUAGGGGUGAAAUCCGUAGAUAUCGGGAGGAACACCAGUGGCGAAGGCGGCCACCUGGACGGUGACUGACGCUGAGACUCGAAAGCGUGGGUAGCAAACAGGAUUAGAUACCCUGGUAGUCCACGCUGUAAACGGUGAGUGCUCGUCGUCGUGGGUAUUGACCCCUGCGGUGACCAAGUUAACACAUGAAGCACUCCGCCUGGGAAGUACGGUCGCAAGACUAAAACUCAAAGAAAUUGACGGGGGCCCGCACAAGCGGUGGAGCAUGUUGUUUAAUUCGAAGCAACGCGCAGAACCUUACCUGGAUUUGACAUCUCUGGAAUCCUCCUGAAAGGGAGGAGUGCCUUCGGGAGCCAGAAGACAGGUGCUGCAUGGCUGUCGUCAGCUCGUGUCGUGAGGUGUUGGGUUAAGUCCCGCAACGAGCGCAACCCCUAUCGUUAGUUGCUAGCAGUUCGGCUGAGCACUCUAGCGAGACUGCCGGUGUUAAACCGGAGGAAGGUGGGGAUGACGUCAAGUCCUCAUGGCCUUUAUAUCCAGGGCUACUAACGUGCUACAAUGGUCGGUACAGAGGGCUGCAAACCCGCGAGGGCAAGCCAAUCCCACAAAGCCGGCCUCAGUUCGGAUUGAAGUCUGCAAUUCGACUUCAUGAAGGCGGAAUCGCUAGUAAUCGCGGAUCAGCAUGCCGCGGUGAAUACGUUCCCGGGCCUUGUACACACCGCCCGUCACGCCACGAAAGCUGGUUGAACCAGAAGUCGAUGACCCAACCGCAAGGAGGGAAUCGCCCAAGGUAUGACUGGUGAUUGGGGUGAAGUCGUAACAAGGUAGCCGUAGGGGAACCUGCGGCUGGAUCACCUCCUUU
rnacentral:rRNA from 1 species